UACGGAGGGUGCGAGCGUUGUCCGGAAUCACUGGGCGUAAAGGGCGCGUAGGUGGCCUGUGGAAGUCUGCGGUGAAAGCCCGGCGCUCAACGCCGGGUCGGCCGUGGAUACUCUCGGGCUUGAGCUUACUAGAGGCAGAUGGAAUUCCGGGUGUAGCGGUGGAAUGCGUAGAGAUCCGGAAGAACACCGGUGGCGAAGGCGGUCUGCUGGGGUAAUGCUGACACUGAUGCGCGAUAGCGUGGGGAGCAAACAGG
rnacentral:rRNA from 1 species